rnacentral:rRNA from 1 species
AACGGCGAGUGAAGCGGCAACAGCUCAAAUUUUAAAGCCGGCGUCCUCGACGCCCGCGUUGUAAUUUGGAGAGGCAUCUUCGGUUUGGGCGCCAGCCUAUGUUCCUUGGAACAGGACGUCACAGAGGGUGAGAAUCCCGUGCUUGGCUGGCUGUCCCUCUCCAUGUGAAGUGUCUUCGACGAGUCGAGUUGUUUGGGAAUGCAGCUCAAAAUGGGUGGUAAAUUUCAUCUAAAGCUAAAUAUUGGCGGGAGACCGAUAGCGCACAAGUAGAGUGAUCGAAAGAUGAAAAGCACUUUGAAAAUAGAGUUAAAAAGUACGUGAAAUUGUUGAAAGGGAAGCGCUUGAGACCAGACUCGGCCGACGGCGAUCAGCGGCCCUUCUGGGCUGUGCACUCGUCAUCGGUUCGGGCCAGCAUCGGUCGAGACGGCGGGAUAAAGGCCCGAGGAAUGUGGCUCCUCUCGGGGAGUGUUAUAGCCUCGGGCGCAAUGCCGCCCGCCUCGACCGAGGACCGCGCUCUUUUGCUAGGAUGCUGGCGUAAUGGUCUUCAGCGACCCGUCUUGAAACACGGACCAAGGAGUCUAACAUCUAUGCGAGUGUUUGGGUGUCAAACCCUUGCGCGUAAUGAAAGUGAACGGAGGUGGGAACCCCUCCUCUGGGGGGGCGCACCAUCGACCGAUCCUGAUGUCUUCGGAUGGAUUUGAGUAGGAGCAUAGCUGUUGGGACCCGAAAGAUGGUGAACUAUGCCUGAAUAGGGUGAAGCCAGAGGAAACUCUGGUGGAGGCUCGCAGCGGUUCUGACGUGCAAAUCGAUCGUCAAAUUUGGGUAUAGGGGCGAAAGACUAAUCGAACCAUCUAGUA